GGCUAACCUGCCCUUGGGACAGGGACAACCCCGGGAAACUGGGGCUAAUCCCUGAUAGGUGAGGGCUCCUGGAAUGGAUCCUCGCUCGAAAGGGCGUCUAGACCAUGCUUCUAGGCGUUGCCCAAGGAUGGGGCCGCGGCCGAUCAGGUUGUUGGUGAGGUAACGGCUCACCAAGCCUUUAACCGGUACGGGCCGUGAGAGCGGGAGCCCGGAGAUGGGCACUGAGACAAGGGCCCAGGCCCUACGGGGCGCAGCAGUCGCGAAAACUCCGCAAUACGCGAAAGCGUGACGGGGUCAUCCCGAGUGCCAUCCGCUGAGGAUGGCUUUUCCCCAGUGUAUAAAGCUGGGGGAAUAAGGAGAGGGCAAGCCUGGUGUCAGCCGCCGCGGUAAUACCAGCUCUCCGAGUGGUGGGGAUGCUUAUUGGGCCUAAAGCAUUCGUAGCUGGCUGGGCAAGUCCUCCGUUAAAUCCAGCGAUUCAAUCGUUGGACUGCGGGGGAUACUGUCCGGCUAGGGGGCGGGAGAGGCCGGCGGUAUUCUCGGGGUAGGGGUGAAAUCCUAUAAUCCCGGGAGGACCACCAGUGGCGAAGGCUGUCGGCUAGAACGUGCCCGACGGUGAGGGAUGAAAGCUGGGGGAGCGAACCGGAUUAGAUACCCGGGUAGUCCCAGCUGUAAACGAUGCAGGCUAGGUGUUGGCGCGGCUACGUGCCGCUCCGGUGCCGCAGAGAAGUCGUUAAGCCUGCCGCCUGGGAAGUACGGCCGCAAGGCUGAAACUUAA
rnacentral:rRNA from 1 species